AUUGAACGCUGGCGGCAGGCCUAACACAUGCAAGUCGAGCGGAUGAAGGGAGCUUGCUCCUGGAUUCAGCGGCGGACGGGUGAGUAAUGCCUAGGAAUCUGCCUGGUAGUGGGGGAUAACGUCCGGAAACGGGCGCUAAUACCGCAUACGUCCUGAGGGAGAAAGUGGGGGGUUUUGGGACCUCACCUUAUCGGAGGGGCUUAGGUGGGAUUAGCUAGUUGGUGGGGUAAGGGCUUACCAAGGCGAGGAUCCGUAACUGGUCGGAGAGGAUGAUCAGCCACACUGGAACUGAGACACGGUCCAGACUCCUACGAGAGGCAGCAGUGGGGAAUAUUGGACAAUGGGCGAAAGCCUGAUCCAGCCAUGCCGCGUGUGUGAAGAAGGUCUUCGGAUUGUAAAGCACGUUAAGUUGGGAGGAAGGGCAGUAAGUUAAUACCUUGCUGUUUUGACGUUACCAACAGAAUAAGCACCGGCUAACUUCGUG
rnacentral:rRNA from 1 species